UAUUUUUAUUGCUUUCCAUAAACACUUUGUUGCUUCUUUUUUUUGUUUCGCCGUCUCAGAUCGUUUUCAUUGUCUUAGUUACCGUACCUUCCUGCUAGACUGAGCACAAGUAUCUCGUAUCUUGAGCCAUGUCAGCACUCGUUCUGCGUAUCAAAUUUCCUAGCGAGUAUCCCUUGAUUUACAAAACGCUCAGGGUCAAUGCCAACUACAAUGUUAAAGAGGCUAUUGCAUACAUCUCGCAGACAGUCAACACGACCAGCCUUUUAAAGGGUAACGAAGGUUUAUAUAUCCCAGAUCGGGAUAAGUGGUUAGAAGACGAUGUCCCACUAUCUUCAUUCGAUUUUCUUCAAGACGUUGAGCACAUCGAAUUUAAAUCUAAAACAAGUGAUGGCGGUUCACAGAAAUCUUCUUCUGGUGGCUCCUCUGGGGGAAGUCGUGCAGGCGGUGGUGGCUGCUGUGCCAUUUUGUAGACAACUAUUUUUCAUAUUACUCCUCCAGAAAGAGGUUCCUUCCCUUCUAUUGCACACACAUCUAUGCAUUUCGGGUGGCAUAUAUUCACUAAGAGCUGUUGUCCCUAGAUUCGGCAAAUUCUUCAAAAAAAACGCUUCAUGGAUCGAUUGCGCCUCGUAAUGACUAACAGACAUAUAUGUCUCUGUAGCUAACACCAAGCUGUGGGAUCACAUUUCUGAGUCCAUUUGCGAGUUGCCCUGCUUCUGGACAUAUUCUCAGUUUGUACAUUUUCAAAUGUAUUCAGCGGUCAAAUUUUUUCAUGCACAAGA